AAAGUCUAACCUGCCCUAUGAUUUAUUUUUAAAUGGCCGCGAUAUUUUGAUCGUGCAAAGGUAGCAUAAUAAUUAGUUUUUUAAUUGAGAACUGGUAUGAAUGGUUGAACGAGAAAAAAACUGUCUCAAUUUAAGUUAAAUUAAAAAUUUAUAUUUAAGUUAAAAAGCUUAAAUUWUUUUAAAAGACGAGAAGACCCUAUAGAGUUUUAUAUAAUUUAUUAUUUUAAAAAAUUUAAGAAUUAAAAAUUUAAUUAUAAUGAAUUGUAUUUAGUUGGGGUGACUAAAAAAUUUAAGAAACUUUUUAAAAAUUUAAACAUUAAUUUAUGAAUAAAUGAUCCA
rnacentral:rRNA from 1 species